CGGUGUCUGGGGAGCGGCUGCAGCCGGGGCCCGCGCGAGCCACUUCACUCCUACAAGCCCGGCUCACUAGUUCCAAGCUGCUGGACUUUGACCCUCGCUGGGAAGCCUGCUCGCCGCCUGUUCUCGCCAAUCUCUAUGCCUUUGCACUGCCCAGCAACCCGGCCACUGCCCAGGACCUGUUAAAAGUUGAAUGGACCUCCCAGAAUCACGCCCCUGCCACCGCCGUUUCUAGAGACGGCUUUUGGCCACCUUUGAGAAUCAGGGUCAAACUUGGAAGGGCCUGCAUUUGUCAUACCUCCUCGGACACUAAUUUGGAUAGUUCAGGCCCUGAGACAGCUUCCCGGGUUAGUGUGCCUGACAACACUGAUGAAAAAUUGUGACAUUUUCCUUCCCCAAAACUACUUCGUUUUAUACAUUUCACUUCUCUUCUGAAAUCACAGCAAUGUCAGUUUGCGCCUUUUGGUCUGAGGAACCCAGGCCCUGGCCACUACCAGGAAAAAAUCCUUUGCACAUGGCCUGCUAUCAACAAUCCUCUACAAUGAUUCUCAGCAUCACCUGGGGAGCUUAUGUAAAAACUCAAAUUCCUGGGCCCUAUCCCCAGAGUUUCUUAUCAAGUAAGUCUACAUUGGUAUCUGAGGAUUUGCGUCGCUAACAAAAAUUCCUAGGUGAUGCUGACACUGUUGGUGUAAGGUUUCCUUGAUGGAGAACUAUCAAAGCAGUCAAAGCUGUCAAAAUAAAAAAUAAUUCUGAUUGGGUGCAGUGGCUCACACCUGUCAUUCCAGCACUUUGAGAGGCCAAGGUGGGCAGAUCACAUGAGGCCAGGAGUUCAAGACCAGCCUGGCCAACAUGGCAGAAACCCCAUCUCUACUAAAAAUACCAAAAUUAGCCGGGCAUGGUGGAACACACCUGCAAUCCCAGCUACUGGGGAGGCUGAGGCAAGAGAAUCGCUUGAACCGGGGAGGCAGAAGUUGCAGUGAAACAAGGUGGUACCAAUGCAUUCCAGCCUGGA
rnacentral:lncRNA from 1 species